rnacentral:rRNA from 1 species
GACGAACGCUGGCGGCGUGCUUAACACAUGCAAGUCGAGCGGUGAACCACUUCGGUGGGGGUCGAGCGGCGAACGGGUGAGUAACACGUGGGCGAACCUAGCCCCUACGCACUGGGAUAACCCCGACGAAAUACGGGGCGUAAUACCGGAUAUGACUUCGAGCGGCAUCUCUCGAGGUGGAAAGAUUUAUCGGCUAGGGAUGGCCCGCGGCCUAUCAGCUUGUUGGUGGGGUAACGGCCUACCAAGGCGGACGAC